UUAAGUUAAUAAGGGCGCACGGUGGAUGCCUUGGCACUAGGAGCCGACGAAGGACGUGACAAACGACGAUAUGCCUUGGGUAGCUGUAAGUAAGCGAUGAUNNNNNNNNNNNNNNNNNNNNNNNNNNNNNNNNNNNNNCAGGGAUUUCCGAAUGGGGGAACCCAACAGGUAAUACCUGUUACCUACAUCUGUUAAGGAUGUGAGGAGGAAGACGCAGUGAACUGAAACAUCUAAGUAGCUGCAGGAAGAGAAAGCAAAAGCGAUUGCCUUAGUAGCGGCGAGCGAAACGGCAGAAGGGCAAACCGAAGAGUUUACUCUUCGGGGUUGUAGGACUGCAAUGUGGACUCAAAGAUUAUAGAAGAAUGAUUUGGGAAGAUCAGCCAAAGAGAGUAAUAGCCUCGUAUUUAAAAUAGUCUUUGUACUUAGCAGUAUCCUGAGUACGGCGGGACACGUGAAAUCCCGUCGGAAUCUGGGAGGACCAUCUCCCAACCCUAAAUACUCCCUAGUGACCGAUAGUGAACCAGUACCGUGAGGGAAAGGUGAAAAGCACCCCGGGAGGGGAGUGAAAUAGAACCUGAAACCGUGUGCCUACAACAAGUUCGAGCCCGUUAAUGGGUGAGAGCGUGCCUUUUGUAGAAUGAACCGGCGAGUUACGUUAUGAUGCGAGGUUAAGUUGAAGAGACGGAGCCGUAGGGAAACCGAGUCUGAAUAGGGCGCCUUAGUAUCAUGACGUAGACCCGAAACCAUGUGACCUACCCAUGAGCAGGUUGAAGGUGCGGUAAGACGCACUGGAGGACCGAACCAGGGCACGUUGAAAAGUGCUUGGAUGACUUGUGGGUAGCGGAGAAAUUCCAAACGAACUUGGAGAUAGCUGGUUCUCUCCGAAAUAGCUUUAGGGCUAGCGUCGACAUUAGAGAUUCUUGGAGGUAGAGCACUGUUUGGGUGAGGGGUCCAUCCCGGAUUACCAAUCUCAGAUAAACUCCGAAUGCCAAUGAAUUAUGGUCGGCAGUCAGACUGCGAGUGCUAAGAUCCGUAGUCGAAAGGGAAACAGCCCAGACCACCAGCUAAGGUCCCAAAAUAAUUGUUAAGUGGAAAAGGAUGUGGGGUUGCACAGACAACUAGGAUGUUAGCUUAGAAGCAGCUAUUCAUUCAAAGAGUGCGUAAUAGCUCACUAGUCGAGUGACCCUGCGCCGAAAAUGUACCGGGGCUAAAACAAUUUACCGAAGCUGUGGAUACCUUUAUAGGUAUGGUAGGAGAGCGUUCUAUGUGUGAUGAAGGUAUACCGUGAGGAGUGCUGGAACGCAUAGAAGUGAGAAUGCCGGUAUGAGUAGCGAAAGACAGGUGAGAAUCCUGUCCACCGUAAGACUAAGGUUUCCAGGGGAAGGCUCGUCCGCCCUGGGUUAGUCGGGACCUAAGGAGAGACCGAAAGGUGUAUCCGAUGGACAACAGGUUGAUAUUCCUGUACUAGAGUAUGUAGUGAUGGAGGGACGCAGUAGGCUAACUAAAGCAGACGAUUGGAAGAGUCUGUCUAAGCAGUGAGGUGUGAAUUGAGUCAAAUGCUUAAUUCUAUAACAUUGAGCUGUGAUGGGGAGCGAAGUUAGUGACGUCACACUGCCAAGAAAAGCUUCUAGCGUUUAAACAUACUCUACCCGUACCGCAAACCGACACAGGUAGUCGAGGCGAGUAGCCUCAGGUGAGCGAGAGAACUCUCGUUAAGGAACUCGGCAAAAUGACCCCGUAACUUCGGGAGAAGGGGUGCUGACUUUAAGUCAGCCGCAGUGAAUAGGCCCAAGCAACUGUUUAUCAAAAACACAGCUCUCUGCUAAAUCGUAAGAUGAUGUAUAGGGGGUGACGCCUGCCCGGUGCUGGAAGGUUAAGAGGAGUGCUUAGCGUAAGCGAAGGUAUGAAUUGAAGCCCCAGUAAACGGCGGCCGUAACUAUAACGGUCCUAAGGUAGCGAAAUUCCUUGUCGGGUAAGUUCCGACCCGCACGAAAGGCGUAAUGAUUUGGGCACUGUCUCAACGAGAGACUCGGUGAAAUUUUAGUACCUGUGAAGAUGCAGGUUACCCGCGACAGGACGGAAAGACCCCAUGGAGCUUUACUGCAGUUUGAUAUUGAGUGUCUGUACCACAUGUACAGGAUAGGUAGGAGUCUAAGAGAUCGGGACGCCAGUUUCGAAGGAGACGCUGUUGGGAUACUACCCUUGUGUUAUGGCCACUCUAACCCAGAUAGGUGAUCCCUAUCGGAGACAGUGUCUGACGGGCAGUUUGACUGGGGCGGUCGCCUCCUAAAAGGUAACGGAGGCGCCCAAAGGUUCCCUCAGAAUGGUUGGAAAUCAUUCGCAGAGUGUAAAGGUAUAAGGGAGCUUGACUGCGAGAGCUACAACUCGAGCAGGGACGAAAGUCGGGCUUAGUGAUCCGGUGGUUCCGUAUGGAAGGGCCAUCGCUCAACGGAUAAAAGCUACCCUGGGGAUAACAGGCUUAUCUCCCCCAAGAGUUCACAUCGACGGGGAGGUUUGGCACCUCGAUGUCGGCUCGUCGCAUCCUGGGGCUGUAGUCGGUCCCAAGGGUUGGGCUGUUCGCCCAUUAAAGCGGCACGCGAGCUGGGUUCAGAACGUCGUGAGACAGUUCGGUCCCUAUCCGUCGCGGGCGUAGGAAAUUUGAGAGGAUCUGCUCCUAGUACGAGAGGACCAGAGUGGACUUACCGCUGGUGUACCAGUUGUCUUGCCAAAGGCAUCGCUGGGUAGCUAUGUAGGGAAGGGAUAAACGCUGAAAGCAUCUAAGUGUGAAACCCACCUCAAGAUGAGAUUUCCCAUGAUUAUAUAUCAGUAAGAGCCCUGAGAGAUGAUCAGGUAGAUAGGUUAGAAGUGGAAGUGUGGCGACACAUGUAGCGGACUAAUACUAAUAGCUCGAGGACUUAUCCAA
rnacentral:rRNA from 1 species